CAAAUAGAAAAAAAAUUUCCCUCAGACUUCCUAAAACUUAGAGCAUGCUGGAAGGUGUCACCCCACAUUCUGCAAAUCUUUUCUCCAAUCUGCAAAAUGAAAAGUUCCGUGAAGCACUAUGCUUAAAGUGGAAUUCUUCAUCUCUGGGAAGAAAAUGAAAGAGGAGC